rnacentral:lncRNA from 1 species
AUGGCUGGUGAAGAGUCCCACUAGAUUGAGACUCUUCGACCAAGAGUCCUAAUGCUUGAGGACUCUGAGUCCUAUGUGUCUGGGACUCUGUGAUCGAGAAUCAAGAUUCUCUGAUCAUGAGUUCCACACAUUUUGGGUAUCGGGGUCAAGAGUCCCACUAGUUUGGGACUCUUCGAUCAAGGUUUCAUAUCGAUGGACUUUGAUGCCCGAUUGCCCAUCGAAUUUGGACUCAGUAUUUAUGAGAGAUUUAAUUAGUGAUUUGAUUGCUAAUUAACUCAAUUUGAUUGAGUAAUUAUUUUUGGAUCAAGUCCAAUUGAAUUGGAUUCAGUUG